rnacentral:rRNA from 1 species
UACGGAGGGUGCAAGCGUUACUCGGAAUUACUGGGCGUAAAGCGUGCGCAGGCGGUUUGUUAAGUCCGUUGUGAAAGCCCCGAGCUCAACUUGGGAAUUGCAGUGGAUACUGGCAGGCUGGAGUACGGUAGAGGAAGGUGGAAUUCCCGGUGUAGCAGUGAAAUGCGUAGAUAUCGGGAGGAACACCAGUGGCGAAGGCGGCCUUCUGGACCAGUACUGGCGCUCAUGCACGAAAGCGUGGGGAGCAAACAGG